rnacentral:tRNA from 1 species
UAGGGCGUAGCUCAGAUGGUAGAGCGCUCGCUUAGCAUGCGAGAGGUACCGGAUCGGAUACCGGCGCUCCAA